rnacentral:rRNA from 1 species
UCCACGCCGUAAACGAUGUCAACUAGCCGUUGGGCCUAUUAAAAGGUUUAGUGGCGCAGCUAACGCGAUAAGUUGACCGCCUGGGGAGUACGGUCGCAAGAUUAAAACUCAAAGGAAUUGACGGGGGCCCGCACAAGCGGUGGAGCAUGUGGUUUAAUUCGAUGCAACGCGAAGAACCUUACCACUCCUUGACAUCCUGCGAACUUUCUAGAAAUAGAUUGGUGCCUUCGGGA